GCCGGGUGCAAUGGCACAUGCCUGUAAUCCCAGCAACUUAGGAGGCUGAGGCAGGAGGAUCAAGAGUUCAAAGCCAGCCUCAACAGAUCAGCGAGGCACUUAGCAACUCAGUGAGAUCUUGCUUCUA
rnacentral:sRNA from 1 species